rnacentral:rRNA from 1 species
CCCUUAGAUGUUCUGGGCCGCACGCGCGCUACACUGAUGCAUUCAACGAGCCUAUCCUUGACCGACAGGUCCGGGUAAUCUUUGAAUCUGCAUCGUGACGGGGAUAGAUUAUUGCAAUUAUUAAUCUUCAACGAGGAAUGCCUAGUAGGCGCAAGUCAUCAGCUUGCGUCGAUACGUCCCUGCCCUUUGUACACACCGCCCGUCGCUCCUACCGAUUGGGUGUGCUGGUGAAAUGUUCGGAUCGGCCGUUUGUCGCGGUUUCCGCGGCUCGUGGCUGAGAAGUUCAUUAAACCCUCCCACCUAGAGGAAGGAGAAGUCGUAACA